rnacentral:rRNA from 1 species
UACGUAGGGUCCGAGCGUUGUCCGGAAUUAUUGGGCGUAAAGAGCUCGUAGGCGGUUUGUCGCGUCUGCUGUGAAAUCCCGAGGCUCAACCUCGGGUCUGCAGUGGGUACGGGCAGACUGGAGUGCGGUAGGGGAGAAUGGAAUUCCUGGUGUAGCGGUGGAAUGCGCAGAUAUCAGGAGGAACACCAAUGGCGAAGGCAGCUCUCUGGUACGUGACUGACACUGAGACGCGAAAGCGUGGGGAGCCGAACAGG